UAACGUUGGCCCCUGACCGGGGUUGCGGACAGUGUCUGGUGGGUAGUUUGACUGGGGCGGUCUCCUCCCAAAGCGUAACGGAGGAGCACGAAGGUUAGCUAAUCCUGGUCGGACAUCAGGAGGUUAGUGCAAUGGCAUAAGCUAGCUUGACUGCGAGCGUGACGGCGCGAGCAGGUGCGAAAGCAGGUCAUAGUGAUCCGGUGGUUCUGAAUGGAAGGGCCAUCGCUCAACGGAUAAAAGGUACUCCGGGGAUAACAGGCUGAUACCGCCCAAGAGUUCAUAUCGACGGCGGUGUUUGGCACCUCGAUGUCGGCUCAUCACAUCCUGGGGCUGAAGUAGGUCCCAAGGGUAUGGCUGUUCGCCAUUUAAAGUGGUACGCGAGCUGGGUUUAGAACGUCGUGAGACAGUUCGGUCCCUAUCUGCCGUGGGCGCUGGAGAAUUGAGGGGGGCUGCUCCUAGUACGAGAGGACCGGAGUGGACGCAUCACUGGUGUUCGGGUUGUCAUGCCAAUGGCACUGCCCGGUAGCUAAAUGCGGAAGAGAUAAGUGCUGAAAGCAUCUAAGCACGAAACUUGCCCCGAGAUGAGUUCUCCCUGAGACUUUAAGUCUCCUGAAGGAACGUUGAAGACGACGACGUUGAUAGGCCGGGUGUGUAAGCGCAGCGAUGCGUUGAGCUAACCGGUACUAAUGAACCGUGAGGCUUAACCUUACAACGCCGAAG
rnacentral:rRNA from 1 species